rnacentral:rRNA from 1 species
AGUGAACGCUGGCGGUAGGCCUAACACAUGCAAGUCGAACGGCAGCACAGUAAGAGCUUGCUCUUACGGGUGGCGAGUGGCGGACGGGUGAGGAAUACAUCGGAAUCUACUUUUUCGUGGGGGAUAACGUAGGGAAACUUACGCUACUACCGCAUACGACCUACGGGUGAAAGCAGGGGAUCUUCGGACCUUGCGCGAUUGAAUGAGCCGAUGUCGGAUUAGCUAGUUGGCGGGGUAAAGGCCCACCAAGGCGACGAUCCGUAGCUGGUCUGAGAGGAUGAUCAGCCACACUGGAACUGAGACACGGUCCAGACUCCUACGGGAGGCAGCAGUGGGGAAUAUUGGACAAUGGGCGCAAGCCUGAUCCAGCCAUACCGCGUGGGUGAAGAAGGCCUUCGGGUUGUAAAGCCCUUUUAUUGGGAAAGAAAAGCAGCAGGUUAAUACCCCGCUGUUCUGACGGUACCCAAAGAAUAAGCACCGGCUAACUUCGUG